AACGCACCUUGCGCCCUUUGGUAAUCCGAGGGGCAUGCCUGUUUGAGUGUCUUGAAGCUCUCAAACGUUUAAUUUGCUUAAACGUUUGGAUUUGGGUGUUCUUUUGCCGGUCGCAAAAAAUCGGCUCACCCUAAAUGCAUUAGCUGGCUUUUGGGUCCGCGAACUCGGUGUGAUAAUUGUCACUCGCUGGGACUUCGUAACCUUGAGGAAGCUGCUUCCAAUCGUCUCCUCGUGAGACAAUACAUCUAAGUGUUUGACCUCAAAUCAGGUAGGACUACCCGCUGAACUUAA
rnacentral:misc_RNA from 1 species